rnacentral:lncRNA from 1 species
GGUAUAUCCCAAACGAGUCUAGCAUAUGAUCUAAGAGUUGUUGGGGUCAUAGGCACGUGGACAGUGGUACACUUCGGUACGCGGAAUGGAAACAGAGUAGAGUGGAACAAAAGACAAUGUUGCUGACCAAAUCGUGAGGAGUGUCACGCCGGAGCUUUAAAGCAUCGAUAAUUAUCCAAGCAACCUGUUUGAUGAAAUGCGUUUGUCAAUCGAUUCUUUAAUUUUUAUUUGGAUUAGAUUAUUUCUAAUUUCUUAUUUUAUUUGAUGACGAACAGGGGCUCAAAAGAAAAGCAAAGAAGUCGUGUUGAAAGACUGGUCACAUAUUUCUUCUCUAACAAUAAUAAGUUAAAGGUGGAAGAUUGCGGAUUGCCCUGAUGACUUGGUUUAAAAAAGCGGGAAGCGCACAAAAGCGACGAGCUCUAAAACCGAGGCGCAAAGCGCAAAAGCGGUCCUGGUGCAAAUGGAGCGAAAAUGAUUAAUAAUUAAAUAACCAGCCAGUUGAGUAGAGUAGACCGCUAGUGACGAAAGGAAAUUCGCCGCCAUUUUUCGUGAGUGGACCGAGCCCGCUAUCUCUAUGUUAUUAAAAUAGGCCAUGCCAUAUUAUUAUUUCACAUGUUAAUUAAAGUUAAGAGUUGGGUUGUUGGGCGAUACAAGAGGAAAAAAAGAAAAGAUGGCUUGAUAACUUAUAAGCAGAUUGUGAUUCAUGGGCUACGUCAUCAACAAAUAAAAUAAACAAAUAUGGGCUCAUGGAAAAUGCAUAAGGUUUGCACAUGGUCAACAAGUUGGUGAAUUAAUUGAAGUCACUGCACACCUACGGACUAGUAUCAUAUUUCGUUAAUUAAUUGGGCUUGGCCCAUUACCAUUGGGAUACAUCUUCUAAACGACAAAAGGCGGCUAUUACGGGGAG